rnacentral:rRNA from 1 species
UGGGGAAUUUUGGACAAUGGGCGAAAGCCUGAUCCAGCAAUGCCGCGUGUGUGAAGAAGGCCUUCGGGUUGUAAAGCACUUUUGUCCGGAAAGAAAUCCUUGGCUCUAAUACAGUCGGGGGAUGACGGUACCGGAAGAAUAAGCACCGGCUAACUACGUGCCAGCAGCCGCGGUAAUACGUAGGGUGCAAGCGUUAAUCGGAAUUACUGGGCGUAAAGCGUGCGCAGGCGGUUUGUUAAGACCGAUGUGAAAUCCCCGGGCUCAACCUGGGAACUGCAUUGGUGACUGGCAGGCUAGAGUAUGGCAGAGGGGGGUAGAAUUCCACGUGUAGCAGUGAAAUGCGUAGAGAUGUGGAGGAAUACCGAUGGCGAAGGCAGCCCCCUGGGCUAAUACUGACGCUCAUGCACGAAAGCGUGGGGAGCAAACAGGAUUAGAUACCCUGGUAGUCCACGCCCUAAACGAUGUCAACUAGUUGUUGGGGAUUCAUUUCCUUAGUAACGUAGCUAACGCGUGAAGUUGACCGCCUGGGGAGUACGGUCGCAAGAUUAAAACUU